rnacentral:rRNA from 1 species
UAAUACGGAGGGUGCAAGCGUUAUCCGGAUUUACUGGGUUUAAAGGGUGCGUAGGCGGGUUUUUAAGUCAGAUGUGAAAGCCUUGAGCUUAACUCAAGAACUGCGUUUGAUACUGGAGACCUUGAAUUCGAUAGAAGUGGGCGGAAUAAUUCAUGUAGCGGUGAAAUGCUUAGAUAUGAAUUAGAACACCAAUUGCGAAGGCAGCUCACUAUGUCGAUAUUGACGCUGAGGCACGAAAGCGUGGGGAUCAAACAGG